UCCACCAAGGCCCAACAGUUCCCUUAAAUCUAAUCAAGCAGCACCAAAUUUCCCAAUUUAUUUUGUUUUGAGAUAUAAGAACACAUGGCAAGACAAAUGCAUUUGUGGUCUUUUUAUCAUCUGCAGAACACUGUGUUGUUGGUUGAUGUUGGCGUGUGGGCUUGUAUCUUAAAAGAGAAUAAAGACAAAGAUUCUUCCUUGGAGAAAUCAACUGUCAGUAAGUGUCUGUGCUUCCAGACAAGUAUGAAGCAAGAGAGAAAAUACCAGAACCUUCAACUAUUACUACCUGUCAUUUAAAACAAGGUGACCUCUUAUUGUAUAUUUCUAUUCCAAUUACUUUCAACAUUCUAUUGCCAGCCAACAGUUUGUGAUAGAGUUUGUCAAUCAAAAAUUUAGCAAAUAAAAUAUAGCUUUUUUUUUUUUAAAGUUUUGUCUAAUGCAUGAAUGUAAUAUCCCAGACGGAUCUGAUAUGACAAUAUUGAUAAUACUUAGCUUUUUAAUUUACGACAUGAUAAAUAUGCAAAUGUAGCCGAACAGUGAGAAGUUUUAGUCCCAUUUUAUUUAAUGCUUAAAGCAGAUGACUAAUCCUUUUUCCUCAUAAUAUGUUUAUGAACACGUGUGUGCCUGUCCCCAUUUCUCUGGAACAUUUCAUCACACUGAUCCUGUUACUAUGAUAAGAAAACCGGUUGUAAACUUUUUAUUUUUGCCACACCCAAAUCCUGACCUGUGUGUAUCACAAAGUGUUUGCAUACAAAUAUGAGCUCUAGGUCCUCGUACAGAUCACUGGGUUUCCUUAUUCCAUGCAGCCAGAGGACAGGAGCUCCGAACCCUCAGUUUCCUUCCAGAAAAGAUCCUUCAUUACUUCUUUAGGACGAGAGCUCACUGUAAACAUGGUUGAUAGAAGCAUUGCACUGGAGGCUCUGGGAGCACUCUGCACUGGCAACGUGACGUCUGUCCAGCAACAAGCAUCACCAGCUGGUUUGUCCAGAAGGAACCUUCAAGUGGGACCACGGCAGAAUCUGUCCAUCAAGCUUCUCAUCCCGACUGUCAUUGAUGGAGAUGAACACUCUUAAAGCAGCUGAUCGACCUGAGCUCUCCGCCCAUCAGGUGGAGUCCAGAAGACAAGAAGGAAAACAACGCUCAUCAACCUCUCCUUCUGAUCCACAUCCUCCUGAACACGUGGACCUGCUGGCCUCUGCAGUAAACUGGACUCAUCAGGUUUCUGUCUCCAGAAACUGAUGAUGAUCCAGUUAAGACGACAACAGAGUUUUGAAUCAAUGAAAUCUUUACUGAAUUCUGAGUAUUAUGUUUUAAAUUAUGAAAAUAUUCAGAGGAUGCUGAGGUUUUUCUGCACCUGACUGUACUUUUCAUCGUCUCUGUCUCUGGGCUCUUAUUAAUGUUUGAAUAAAUGUUGUUAUUGUCACUACUGUAUACUGAUGUUCCUGUCUCUGUUCUGUCCACCACAUUGAAACCUGAUAAUUGACAGUUUCUGAGCCCCUAUCAUAACCUAACUGAAACCGGCCGUUUAAAACGACUACAAGUCGUUUUCACUUCAGAACUACAAUGGCACUUAGUACGGCACAGUCGUCCACCAAGGCCCAACAGUUCCCUUAAAUCUAAUCAAGCAGCACCAAAUUUCCCAAUUUAUUUUGUUUUGAGAUAUAAGAACACAUGGCAAGACAAAUGCAUUUGUGGUCUUUUUAUCAUCUGCAGAACACUGUGUUGUUGGUUGAUGUUGGCGUGUGGGCUUGUAUCUUAAAAGAGAAUAAAGACAAAGAUUCUUCCUUGGAGAAAUCAACUGUCAGUAAGUGUCUGUGCUUCCAGACAAGUAUGAAGCAAGAGAGAAAAUACCAGAACCUUCAACUAUUACUACCUGUCAUUUAAAACAAGGUGACCUCUUAUUGUAUAUUUAUAUUCCAAUUACUUUCAACAUUCUAUUGCCAGCCAACAGUUUGUGAUAGAGUUUGUCAAUCAAAAAUUUAGCAAAUAAAAUAUAGCUUUUUUUUUUUUAAAGUUUUGUCUAAUGCAUGAAUGUAAUAUCCCAGACGGAUCUGAUAUGACAAUAUUGAUAAUACUUAGCUUUUUAAUUUACGACAUGAUAAAUAUGCAAAUGUAGCCGAACAGUGAGAAGUUUUAGUCCCAUUUUAUUUAAUGCUUAAAGCAGAUGACUAAUCCUUUUUCCUCAUAAUAUGUUUAUGAACACGUGUGUGCCUGUCCCCAUUUCUCUGGAACAUUUCAUCACACUGAUCCUGUUACUAUGAUAAGAAAACCGGUUGUAAACUUUUUAUUUUUGCCACACCCAAAUCCUGACCUGUGUGUAUCACAAAGUGUUUGCAUACAAAUAUGAGCUCUAGGUCCUCGUACAGAUCACUGGGUUUCCUUAUUCCAUGCAGCCAGAGGACAGGAGUUCAUGACCCUCAGUUUCCUUCCAGAAAAGAUCCUUCAUUACUUCUGUAGGACGAGAGCUCACUGUAAACAUGGUUGAUAGAAGCAUUGCACUGGAGGCUCUGGGAGCACUCUGCACUGGCAACGUGACGUCUGUCCAGCAACAAGCAUCACCAGCUGGUUUGUCCAGAAGGAACCUUCAAGUGGGACCACGGCAGAAUCUGUCCAUCAAGCUUCUCAUCCCGACUGUCAUUGAUGGAGAUGAACACUCGUAAUUAGUGGAGCUUUUCUUACCAUAAAUCAUGAGAUCAGAUUUUAUUGUUUUAUUUAGAGGAGAUGAAGUAAAAAAUCAUGAUUAAAAAGUAAAUGUUAAGAUGUGUUUUCAAAAAGCUCAACUAAAGAUGUGUUGUUUAGUUAAAGCAGCUGAUCGACCUGAGCUCUCCGCUCAUCAGGUGGAGUCCAGAAGACAAGAAGGAAAACAACGCUCAUCAACCUCUCCUUCUGAUCCACAUCCUCCUGAACACGUGGACCUACUGGCCUCUGCAGUAAACUGGACUCAUCAGGUUUCUGUCUCCAGAAACUGAUGAUGAUCCAGUUAAGACGACAACAGAGUUUUGAAUCAGUGAAAUCUUUACUGAAUUCUGAGUAUUAUGUUUUAAAUUAUGAAAAUAUUCAGAGGAUGCUGAGGUUUUUCUGCACCUGACUGUACUUUUCAUCGUCUCUGUCUCUGGGCUCUUAUUAAUGUUUGAAUAAAUGUUGUUAUUGUCACUACUGUAUACUGAUGUUCCUGUCUCUGUUCUGUCCACCACAUUGAAACCUGAUAAUUGACAGUUUCUGAGCCCCUAUCAUAACCUAACUGAAACCGGCCGUUUAAAACGACUACAAGUCGUUUUCACUUCAGAACUACAAUGGCACUUAGUACGGCACAGUCGUCCACCAAGGCCCAACAGUUCCCUUAAAUCUAAUCAAGCAGCACCAAAUUUCCCAAUUUAUUUUGUUUUGAGAUAUAAGAACACAUGGCAAGACAAAUGCAUUUGUGGUCUUUUUAUCAUCUGCAGAACACUGUGUUGUUGGUUGAUGUUGGCGUGUGGGCUUGUAUCUUAAAAGAGAAUAAAGACAAAGAUUCUUCCUUGGAGAAAUCAACUGUCAGUAAGUGUCUGUGCUUCCAGACAAGUAUGAAGCAAGAGAGAAAAUACCAGAACCUUCAACUAUUACUACCUGUCAUUUAAAACAAGGUGACCUCUUAUUGUAUAUUUCUAUUCCAAUUACUUUCAACAUUCUAUUGCCAGCCAACAGUUUGUGAUAGAGUUUGUCAAUCAAAAAUUUAGCAAAUAAAAUAUAGCUUUUUUUUUUUUAAAGUUUUGUCUAUUGCAUGAAUGUAAUAUCCCAGACGGAUCUGAUAUGACAAUAUUGAUAAUACUUAGCUUUUUAAUUUACGACAUGAUAAAUAUGCAAAUGUAGCCGAACAGUGAGAAGUUUUAGUCCCAUUUUAUUUAAUGCUUAAAGCAGAUGACUAAUCCUUUUUCCUCAUAAUAUGUUUAUGAACACGUGUGUGCCUGUCCCCAUUUCUCUGGAACAUUUCAUCACACUGAUCCUGUUACUAUGAUAAGAAAACCGGUUGUAAACUUUUUAUUUUUGCCACACCCAAAUCCUGACCUGUGUGUAUCACAAAGUGUUUGCAUACAAAUAUGAGCUCUAGGUCCUCGUACAGAUCACUGGGUUUCCUUAUUCCAUGCAGCCAGAGGACAGGAGCUCCGAACCCUCAGUUUCCUUCCAGAAAAGAUCCUUCAUUACUUCUUUAGGACGAGAGCUCACUGUAAACAUGGUUGAUAGAAGCAUUGCACUGGAGGCUCUGGGAGCACUCUGCACUGGCAACGUGACGUCUGUCCAGCAACAAGCAUCACCAGCUGGUUUGUCCAGAAGGAACCUUCAAGUGGGACCACGGCAGAAUCUGUCCAUCAAGCUUCUCCUCCCGACUGUCAUUGAUGGAGAUGAACACUCGUGGAGUCCAGAAGACAAGAAGGAAAACAACGCUCAUCAACCUCUCCUUCUGAUCCACAUCCUCCUGAACACGUGGACCUACUGGCCUCUGCAGUAAACUGGACUCAUCAGGUUUCUGUCUCCAGAAACUGAUGAUGAUCCAGUUAAGACGACAACAGAGUUUUGAAUCAGUGAAAUCUUUACUGAAUUCUGAGUAUUAUGUUUUAAAUUAUGAAAAUAUUCAGAGGAUGCUGAGGUUUUUCUGCACCUGACUGUACUUUUCAUCGUCUCUGUCUCUGGGCUCUUAUUAAUGUUUGAAUAAAUGUUGUUAUUGUCACUACUGUA